rnacentral:rRNA from 1 species
GUCCACAGCCAUAUGACCCUCAAUGCACCUGAUGUUAUCUGAUUUUGGAAGCUAAGCAUGGUAAGUCCUGGUUAGUACUUGGACGGGAGACCACCUGGGAAUACCCAGUGCUGUAGGCU